AGAAGUAGUUCAAUGGUAGAACGUAACACUGAUAAGGUUAAAAUAGGGGUUCGAUUCCUCUCUUCU
rnacentral:tRNA from 1 species